AUUGAACGCUGGCGGCAGGCCUAACACAUGCAAGUCGAGCGAGCGGCGGACGGGUGAGUAAUGUAUGGGGAUUUGCCCGAUAGAGGGGGAUAACUACUGGAAACGGUGGCUAAUUCCGCCUACUAUUGGAUGAACCCAUAGGGGAUUAGCUAGUAGGUGGGGUAAAGGCUCAUCUAGGGGACGAUCUCUAGCUGGUCUGAGAGGAUGAUGAGCCACACUGGGACAGUGACACGGCCCAGACUCCUACGGGAGGAAGCAGUGGGGAAUAUUGCACAAUGGGAGCAAGCCUGAUGCAGCCAUGCCGCGUGUAUGAAGAAGGCCUUAGGGUUGUAAAGUACUUUCAGCGGGGAGGCGUUACCCGCAGAAGAAGCACCGGCUAACUCCGUGCCAGCCGCCGCGGUAAUUC
rnacentral:rRNA from 1 species